rnacentral:rRNA from 1 species
AAUCUGCCGAGAAGUGGGGGAUAGCUUGCCGAAAGGCAAAUCAAUACCGCAUGUGAUAGCAAUAUUAAAGUCGGGGUAACCUGACGCUUCUUGAUGAGCUCGCGGCCUAUCAGCUUGUUGGCGGGGUAACGGCCCACCAAGGCUAUGACGGGUAGCUGGUCUGAGAGGACGACCAGUCACACUGGAACUGAGACACGGUCCAGACACCUACGGGUGGCAGCAGUCGAGAAUUUUUCUCAAUAGGGGAAACCCUGAAGGAGCGACGCCGCGUGGAG